CGAGGCAGAGAGCAAGGGGGUGGGGGGAGAGGCCGAGCCGACGAGCAGCCCGAGCUACAGCUCGAAGAUGAAAAAAGAUUUUAAAGCCUCUGAUCCAACAAGAGUUUAAAGCAAUUGCUGAGUUUUAUAGCAGUUGUGACGUCAGGCUCAAAUGGGAAAUUGACUGGCACUCCGGGCCAAUGGGAGGCGGCGAGAGCGGCCGCGAUUAGCAUAAUAGUAUAGAAACAAGGAAACUUUUCGGAGCUGUCAAUCAGGGCCCAAUCAGCUGACUGUCAGCUGGGACGGGCUGGCUUAACCCUUCGCGCGCCGCAGCCUCAGCCGGCGGGAGCGAGGCCCCUAGCGAAGUUUGCUGCAAGAGGGGAAGGGACUUUUCCAGAGGGGCCGCGGGAAGCCGGGCGGACGGUUUGCUUUCAUUCGGAGCGCCAGAGAGGCCUGCCUGCCUGCGGGAGCCCCAGCUCGCCUGCCACUCACUCUCCCGGGACUGGGCUGAUUCUCCUCCCCUGCCUGCCCCCCAUGCCCCCACCCCCCAGGAUUGUGAAUUCGCCCCGCAGCUUUUUCCUCCACGCUCCACCUUGGGCGCCCAGGUCUCUGCCCGGAGGACCUUCCUUCCCGGAGCCUGAAGGGGCCUGGGGCUCAAACUUAGCCCCAACUCUUUGUCCCUGGCCCGGGUACCCGCCCACGGGGAGAUGCUUGGGGGUGCAGGAGUUGGGGAAGACGCGCGGCACCUCGCCGGGCAGCGCGCCUCCCGGGGCGCUUCGGAGUCGGAGAGAGAGAAAGCCCAUUUCAUCACGCUCUUUUAAGGGAGGCGAAAUAAGUUGUUCAGGGGCCAUUCGGUGCGGGGACCGGCCCCCUCUGGAGUCUCGUGCCCUUUUGGGGAGCGAGCGCCCACGCGAGUUAACUCCGGGAAAGCUCAGAGCCAGGUCAGACCGAAUCAGCCCUCCGCUCCCGACUCUGGCCGGAGUUUGGCCUUUGAAAUUCAUUUCUUUUUCUGUUUCUGUCUCUCUCCCUCCCUCCCUCUUUCUCUCUCUUCCCUCUCCCUUCCCUUUCUCUUCCUCCCUCCCUCCCUCUCUCUCUCUUUCACACACACGUACACACUCACACACUUGUGAAAUCUGACUCCUGUUUAUCAGGGUCCCGCGCGCCCUUUGCACUUUUACGUUUCACUUAAUUAUUUCGGACUUGGUCGUGGCGGGAAACAAGGAGAAAAACAACACCCCAGUCCUCACCAGCUCCCCUCGAAGGGUUAAAUUUUAAACCGCGGUUUCUCGGACCAGCCCGGAAACCUAGAGUGGGGGUGGGGUGAGGGGUUGCGUCCUCCGCCCCCCCCCUUGAAGAUGCUAAUAACUAGUUCAAUUUUCUAGAUCGAUUCUUUUAAAGCUUAUGCAAAGGAAAAAAAAAGAGAGAAAAAGGAAAAGUAAGAAAAGAGGAAAGAAAGAAACGAACAAAUCUGUUUCUAAGAUUUUAAAGAGAUAGGCGAGUCGGAGAGACCUAGAUUUAUUUGGGGCCCAAAUGAGCGAAGCAGAAGCAGUUUGGGAAAGACCAGCUCGCCUACUUGGAAGUUGGGACUGCUGAUCUCGCCAGUUAAUUAAAUGCAUUCUGUUUUAAUUAUAUUCAUUUUACUUUAUGGGAUGGGGAGACGCUAGGAGGGUGCCCACACAAAAAAUAUUCGGAAAAGCCUGCAAAAAGGAUCCAAGCGUGAAAACUAUUGUUGGACGGAGUUGGUUUGUACCUCGACAGCGCCACCUUUCGGCAAAGACACCCAGUGCCUUGAACAUUUCCACAUAUGCCUUGAUUUCAAGUGCCCCCGGCCCCAGGUUGCUAACUUGCAGAUGGGUGCUUCUCUGAGGGUCAGAUCACCAACUUUUCUGCCAUUUCCUGAUGCCCAUUUUGAAGCCAGAUGGCUGGGAGGCGUUUCCUUGAGCAGAUGAGUUCAGAGGUUUGAGGGUCCACCUUGGAGCUGCAGCUUGUCGCCCUGCUCUCUCUCGAAGGGGCUUAAAUGUGCAGACUUUUGCAGACCCUUCCCCUCGUGGCUCCCUUCUUGCCCCUGUCGGAGGCAGCUGGAAGGAGCGCAGGCACCAGCUCAUGAGUUAUUUAUGACCUGCCGUCUGUGUCCUGCCCAGGAGAGCUGGGCGCAGGCUGUUUCGGCGAACCCGGCCGGGGCCUGCCAGGGCUCCUGAGGAAUGACGGGGACACUUCAGAAACGCGGCCCUGGCUGUUGACUCAUGGCUCGGCAGAGAGCCACUGGGGAGGGCCGGGGCUUCUGUCCCGCUGCCCCAGUGCGGGCUCUGACAGCCUGGGCUCCGGGGGAGGCGGGCGGGCCGGGGAGACAGGCCUCUGGAGCCUGCUCCCCGUGCUCCUGCUGAUUCACACUCUGACCUCAGCAAAGCUCCGCACUUGUCUUCCUGCAACUCGUUUUUCAGGCUCAGAAUGGCCUGAACUGCACGAAGAAGUCAGGAAAAUGUUCUGGAUUGCACAGAGGGAAUGCACUCUGCACUCUGAGGUGGAAGAUAGGGUGGGCGAACGUGACCCAGACUCCCAUGGGCACAGCGUAAACGCCCGAGGGCUGGGUCACGAUGACAAGGUCGGGAUAUCUUUGGGGUCAAAAUGUCAGAACCGGCGUGAUGGGAUCAAAAUGGCAGUGCCAGACCAUCCUGCAGCUCGGGGCCAGAGGAUGCUGUUGUUUCAGAUGAAUGUCGUUUAGGACCUCGGGUGGCAGAGCAGGGGGUUUUGGGGGUGAGUAAAGCCUGGAUUUCUAAGGCCGCUUUAGCACCAGGCCAGCGAGAGGGUGGCUCCUGCUCCACCCCAGCUGCGGGACGUUGGGCCCGUCAGCUCACCUCCCUGGGCCUCAGUCUCCUUCUUGGCCUCAAGUGGAAACUACACACCACUUCAGUGGGUUUUUGUGAUGAUUCUGUCUGUGUAUACCAAGCACUUGGCACAGCUCUUGCUCCAUGGGAAGUGCCCAAAACACGUGACCCAUCAUCAUGUGAGAAGGACAGGGCUGGCGAUCUGCACACACAGCUUCAUGCUGUGGGUCUACCGUGUCUAGGAACGCAGGAAAUAUUUCCUCUGUCUCCGUGCUCCAGCCUUAAAUAUGCACCUCCUCAGAGGUCCUCUUUCUUUGGCUCUCUCCUCUGAGUCACUGCUCAGACUCACCUGGAAUAGCUUCACCCCCGUCUCCCCUGCCCUCUGGUUAACUGUGACUCUUUUCAAAUCUCAGGUGGUUUCCUCUGAAAAGCAUUACCUCUGUCCCUUUCCCAGCAGCCCCCAAACCCAGGCUGGGUUCCCCUUCUCUCUUUUUAUCCCCCAUCACCCCCAUGGUAACUCCCCACUUCCCCUAUGAGUAACUUGCAGCCAGGGGCUAUACCUUUUGUCUCUCUUUCUCCUUCCCCUACCAUGGUGCCUGGCACAC